rnacentral:rRNA from 1 species
ACGAGUUCUCGUUGAUGAUCGGUGCUUGCACCGAGAUUCAACAUGGAACGAGUGGCGGACGGGUGAGUAACACGUGGGUAACCUGCCCUUAAGUGGGGGAUAACAUUUGGAAACAGAUGCUAAUACCGCAUAGAUCCAAGAACCGCAUGGUUCUUGGCUGAAAGAUGGCGUAAGCUAUCGCUUUUGGAUGGACCCGCGGCGUAUUAGCUAGUUGGUGAGGUAAUGGCUCACCAAGGCGAUGAUACGUAGCCGAACUGAGAGGUUGAUCGGCCACAUUGGGACUGAGACACGGCCCAAACUCCUACGGGAGGCAGCAGUAGGGAAUCUUCCACAAUGGACGCAAGUCUGAUGGAGCAACGCCGCGUGAGUGAAGAAGGCUUUCGGGUCGUAAAACUCUGUUGUUGGAGAAGAAUGGUCGGCAGAGUAACUGUUGCCGGCGUGACGGUAUCCAACCAGAAAGCCACGGCUAACUACGUGCCAGCAGCCGCGGUAAUACGUAGGUGGCAAGCGUUAUCCGGAUUUAUUGGGCGUAAAGCGAGCGCAGGCGGUUUUUUAAGUCUGAUGUGAAAGCCCUCGGCUUAACCGAGGAAGCGUAUCGGAAACUGGGAAACUUGAGUGCAGAAGAGGACAGUGGAACUCCAUGUGUAGCGGUGAAAUGCGUAGAUAUAUGGAAGAACACCAGUGGCGAAGGCGGCUGUCUGGUCUGUAACUGACGCUGAGGCUCGAAAGCAUGGGUAGCGAACAGGAUUAGAUACCCUGGUAGUCCAUGCCGUAAACGAUGAAUGCUAG